rnacentral:rRNA from 1 species
UACGAAGGGGGCUAGCGUUGCUCGGAAUCACUGGGCGUAAAGCGCACGUAGGCGGCUUUUUAAGUCAGGGGUGAAACCCCGGAGCUCAACUCCGGAACUGCCUCUGAUACUGAGGAGCUUGAGUUCGGGAGAGGUGAGUGGAACUGCGAGUGUAGAGGUGAAAUUCGUAGAUAUUCGCAAGAACACCAGUGGCGAAGGCGGCUCACUGGCCCGAUACUGACGCUGAGGUGCGAAAGCGUGGGGAGCAAACAGG